GCUUCUAAGGCAGGUUAACAGGUUCCUCCAUCUCUGCCGAGACGGUGAAACUGCCGGUUCCCCAGCCGGCCCUGUCACAGCGAGGCAGGGGCAGCCUUUCGGAGACUGCCUGAGCCGCCAAGACCUAAGAUCUGCUUCUUGAGCUUCGAUCUGUCACGAGCCAGGCAUCACAGAAGGAAAUUAAUUUUUUCAAAACAAAUUUCCUCAAACCACAUAAAAGAAAUUCUGUUUUUGUUUUUCUCACGAGCAGAGCAUAGAGGGAAGAAGGGAGGUUUGGGGUCACUCCCCAGGGGGAUUCUGGAUGCGUUUGCCGGUCUGCAAAACUCCUGGAAGGGCUGUGCGAGGACCCGCACAGUGAGGACAGCAAGGCUUGGCCACGGUCCAGGCAUGUGGCCACCCAGGGCCCAUGCGCUGCUGUCACCGUCCUGCUGGGACACACCUCUUCGUUUCUGCUUCUAGGAGGCUUCACUCAGCUCUAGUUUCAAGGCCAUUCUGGGACCUCCUGACAUCCCUGCGAUGUCAGCCCCACGCUCCCUCUGGAUUAUCCUCAGACCUGCAUCACCUCCACCCACGGGCCUUGCCUGGACUUCCUGCCCCGUCCCUGCCCCUGAAGCCACUGCUGAGGCCAGGCAGGACACCCAGCGCCCUGGACAUCUCAACCCCUUGCUCUGGGGUUCCUGAGCCCAGGGAGGUGGGACCUCUCCCUGCGGAAGCCUGGGUUCCCCCUUUGAAAAUCAGGGGCUCGAAUCCCCGUGUGACUGCUCGACAGCAGGAGAUGACAUGUGUGCAAUGUUUCAUAAACCGGGAGAGGGCUGAGCGGGCGAGGGCUGUGUCAGCCCCCUCCCACCCCAACUACUUGAGGGAGGACGCUCCUCUUGGUCACCGGGAAGAUGGGUGGGCAGCAGGGACGGUGGGCUCCAGGGAGCCUGUGGAUGGGACCUGGUCCCAAGGCUGCAGCCUGAACCUGGGGUGUGUGCGAAGGAGACAGGAAAGAAGGACCAGACCUGGCCAGGUCAAGCUCUCAUCGCUCCCCUAAGUGACUCUCAGCCUCUGUUCUUGCCCUUCCGGCCAGCUCUUCCCCCAAAAGCCCUUUAAGCAAAUCCACUGUGUGUAGGGACCACCCAGCCCCUUCCCUGGGGCACAUCUGAGAAGGCGGGAAACUGCCAGCCCCGGGUCAUUCCUCAGAGGCAGCGUGGAGCAGUGGGGCCAGUGCAGGCUCUGGGGUUGCAGGGAAACCCUGCUCCCAUCUCCUGGGGUUCCAGCACAGCCGUGGGGCUGAGGACUCAGCAGGCAGACUGCAGGCACCAGCCAGGCGACCCAGGGACCCCCGGUCUCAGAUAAUCACAGCAGGCCAUUGCAGGGUCACUGGGAGUUAAGCCGGGUACCUGGCACACAGUAGCACCUAAUAAAGAUGAGACACUUUCUAUUGCUAGUAUUCACGCGGCUGGGCUGGCAACCCCGUCAGUAAGAGGGCGGUUAAAGGCGCACCUGCCCCGGAGUUUAUUAAGAGGAUGAAAUGAGACGAUGCUCGUAAAGUGCUCAGCGUGGUAUCUGACACUCAGCAAGGGCUCGACACAGGAGAGGGAAGUCCUCGGCCUCUGGCUUAAGUUUUCCAGGAAGCCAGGCUGUUGGGAGGAGGGGCCAGCCUCCGCUUGAGCAGGGAGAUGCGCUCUGGCCAGUGACUAAGGCUCGGGCGGCAGGAUGCAGCGGCUCGGGCAGGGCGGGGUUGGGCUGAGGCCGAGGCUGGCCCGCGUUCAGGGUGAUGCAUUUUUACCGUAAGGCCCUGGGUGACUCCAGAGCCAGCGCUGGCCUCCCGGUCCCUGGGGCCUGACACUCACCAGCCAGCAAUGAGAGAUGCUUCGUAAAAGAGGCAGAGACUCUGGAGCCCUCAAAAGCACACACAGUGAGAAAGACGGGGACAGGGCCUGGGAGGAAAGGACAGAUUCACAGGCACGUGGCAUUUAAUAAAUGCCACCCUCUGUUUGUUUAACCAUCUGAGGUGCUAUGAUAGCAGGGCAGGUCUGGGUGCCAGGCUGGGUUCUGGGACCGGAGCCAAAGUCAAUUAAGACCGGGGGUGGAGGGGAACCCAAAAAAGGGUGAGGAGAAGAGAAAGACACACACACACACACACACACUCUCUCUCUCUCUCUCUCUCUCUCUCUCUCUCUCUCUCUCUCUCUCCCUCCCUCUCUCUCCAUGCAGAAAACAGAGAGAUCAGGUUGUGGGCUUCAGCGACCAAAUACAAGUGUCCAAAUGCCGGCAGGGCCCCCUACUUGCUGAGUAAGGUCAGGCCAAUUAAUUAAGAGCUCUGUGAUCCACUUUCCUCAUCUGUAAAAUGGGAAUGAUAAUAUCCACACCCCCUUCCAAAGGGGACCAAAGUAAGCACAGGCUCUUUGCUAGGGCUUAUAAAAUACAGGGGAAGAGUCACCUUGGGACUUAGAAAACCUCAUUCUACUGUGAUCUUCCUAUCUUCUGUAUCCCAUCACCACACUCGGCCUCUAGCAAGCAGUCAAUAUACACAUGAUGGUGUCCAGAGAGCCAGAAACCUGCCCCCGGCAGCAAAGAUACUCAGAGAGCGGGUGGGGUGAGGCUGUACCUAACCCCAGCAUUCUCCCCAAUGUCAACUAGGCAGCGACUACUAUGUCCACUUUAGAGGUAAGGAAACCGAGGCCAAAGAUCUGCAGGCUCACGGUGUGCCUGGCCUUGGGCUGAGCAGGGAAGAAGAAAACAGCAGAAAGAGCAGUUAUUACAGACAGACUACAGGGUUCCAGGGCAAAAGAACUGGUAAAGGGCGGGCUUAUUCACAGUUGUAUUUUAGCCCAGAUUGUCUCAACCAGCCUUUGGGGAAUAGCAAUAAUUUCUUCUGCUUCGAUCAACUUCAUUUACCAUCUCGAGCCCAAUUCUUUUCCAAUAGGGAAUAAAAGUGCAGCCACUAAAAGUCAGACAUUCUUUUAAACACAUCCAACCCCGCUGUGUGGCUGUGGGUUAGCUAGCUACCCUCUCUGAGCCUCCAUUUCCUCUCAUGUGCAAAUUGAGCAAAAUACUCACCUCCCUCCUGCUAUGGGGUGAGAAAAGACCACCAUGUGACCAGCCUUCAAGACGGGGCACCCCUUGUCAUAAACGAAAGACACAUCGUAAAAAAGUGACCUUGGGUUUAACUUUGCCACGCCACUGUGAAAAUGAAAAGGGUAAACUUUAAUAAAUACUGACUAUAUAAAUGAAUCCAAUCGUGACCCGAGAGCUUUCUGCUUGGCGAAAACUGGAGAAAAAGGAAUUUGAGAAUGAGCUCAAAAGGUUGGAGAGAGAGCGUCAUGGGUCAAGUGGAGGCUGACAGGUGCUGGGGGAAGACAGUGGGACUUGCUUUUCUGAAAUUCUAGGGAUUCCAGCAACAAGGGACCAGCCACAGGCACUUCCAGGUAAAAGAAAGGCUCUUGCAACACUGUAAAUCACCUAUGCUUCAAUAAAAUUUUUAAAAAAAGAAGAAAGAAAGUCACUGUUCCCAAAUUCUGACCCAUGUGCACUGGCUCUGGGGAGAGACUCAGUUUUCUUGUCUGUUCAAUGGGGAUGAUGUUAUUUUCUGCCGUAUUCACACAAAGCCCUUAAGACAGUCUAACACCCAGGAAGUGUGCAAUAAGUGUGAGCUACUCCUUUUUAUUCCUGGGUGAUAUUAUUGCCACUAUCCCUCCGUGGUCCCUCUUCUUUCUUCUUCUUGGGAAUCAGCACUUUCUCGGAGACAAACGACAGGGACCGAAGUGGUGCUAUUCUUUAUUGCUUUGGCAAAAUAAAAUAAAGAUCACAACCAUUUCCUUUCCAUUCUGAGUGCCCAGGUGACCAGGAAACACCCGGAGACUUAAAGAGGCUUUCUUAGCCCCGAGUUCAUCUUCCUGCAAAGCCUUAAACUUUUGCUCCUUCCUUUCACUAGACUACAGGCUCCCCAGGGACGGAGAGCAUAUCUGCUCUGCUUGCCACGAGACCCCCAGCACUUGGGACAGUGGCUAAUUUACAUUAGGUACUCGGGAGAAUUAACGGGGUAACUGGCGUAUAAUCAUCGCUCUACAAGUUUGGGUGCAUCCCUGUGAGCAGAGGAGCCAACGAUCAUAAGUUCU
rnacentral:lncRNA from 1 species